GCGGGAGUGGUGGAAUUGGCAGACACGCAGGAUUUAGGUUCCUGUGCCCUAGUGGCGUGGGGGUUCAAGUCCCCUCUCCCGCACCG
rnacentral:tRNA from 1 species